UGAUCCAAAGACCAUUCCUCCAUCAAGUACCGCGGUAGCAGGACACGAAACUGAAAUCGACAAGUAAGAUGAACAUAGCAGCGCAGGGUGGAAGAAGAAAAUGCAGCUGCCGCACUGAAGAUGUGCCAGCCACGUCGACCCAAAACCACACCGCCGGAUCCCACCUCAGGAGAGGGGGACGGGCGGGAUGGCCACACGACCAGAUGGGUGGAGGCAGCAGCGGCGCUGCCGCCCACUGACCCACCCCCCGAAGACGACCAGAAGAGGCGGCUUGGGCGGCAACAGGAGGCUGCGGCGCAGCGCUCUUGAAGCGGCGGUAACCGGUGGCGGGAGAGCGCCCUCGCCCAGGAGCACGCAGAUCCGGACCAGUGGAGGUCGGAUCCGGCGUGAGGGGCCAGAGUAACCCUCACCAGCGGCGAGCACGAUGACCUAGGCGACCUUUUUUCUUUUUGAAGCUGAGGAAGAGGGGGAGAAGGAGGAAGAGAGGAGGAGCGCACAAGAACGCCUGAAGCUGGUAGAUCUGAGCGGGGGACCGCAGGAUCCGGCCGCGGCAGAGCCGGAGCCACGCCAUCCCGGCCGCGUCGUAACUCCCUGCUCCCGCAGCGUCGCGCCGCCCGCAGCGAUGAAUGCGCGCUGGCUCCAGCCGAAAUCCCCGUCGCCGCCUUCCUCGCGGCCACAGGGCUUCCAGCGGCCCACUCAGGCGACGGCGAGGUGGAGGUGGUAGAAAAAUCGGUCCAAAAUACAAUGCCGAAUCCACGGUCUGGGUUAGUAUUUUUUUGUUAUAUACGCGCCUAAUGAGAGGUAAAGAACCACACAGACAACUCUGCAGCACCCAAACUAUGGCAGCAGCUCCCCAACGCCUUUGCCCCCGCCAUCUUCCACAAGACUGCCUGCUCGUUUAUCUCCUGCAGCACCUGCCAAUGCUUACGGGUGGAAACCGAGCGGAGGUUAUGCCCCAGACCUACCGCGUCGAGUCAUGCAGGUGCAGCUGGUGACACCACCAACACCCCGUCCGCGCCACCAUGAUAGGUGCGGCAGAUAAUGGUGAGUUGGUGACAUCAACGGUGCCGGCGGUCCUCUCGUUCUUCUACUUGCCAGCGCGCAGUCAAGGUAUUCCAUCUUCCGUAACAUUCUCAUAAGGCGACGGGCAAGAAGAUGGCGGUGGGGCGUGGGGUCGAGGCAAAGAAAGAGUGGACGCAGCUGGUUCGCCAUCAGCUGGUGCUCCCGCGUGCACUCAAGAUAGCGAGCUCGGAAACACUUGCAGCCGCACCGGUUGAGUCAAUAUCGACGCAGGAGAUGCACAACAUGUGCUCGAUUAUUUGCCUAUGAGAGCUGAUGUUACUGAUUCUCCUCCCCAUGUUCCUUGCAGUGUGCUGUGUUUUUAUUGAUUGAUUAUAUUCUACUACAUGUUACCGAGAUGGAAAUAUGGCAGUAAUUGCAAGGGGGCCUGAUUGCUAUAUCAAAAUCCAGCUCGGGUGCCACCUGAUACAAGCAAAGCUGCAGGGUGUUCUGCGUUGCCUUCCUCAAGAUCAUGACCAAGAAUAUCACUGAUGAUCCCCUGUUAUUUCAUUUGUUCAAGGUAGAUUUCUCAGAAAAGCAGCAAUUCUCUCACUUCACAGUAUAGGUCUUCUAGAAGGUGAUAUAAUACAUCAGUCUGUCAUUUCUGUGCUCUAAAUAGAUUUUUAGCUCUAAGCGAAGGAUCAUAAAAUAUCGGUGGAGUUCCAGUAACCGGUGCUGCACCAGCAAGAUAUUUUCAAAUAUACCAUGAAGAAGCUACUUAAAUGGACACAAAGCAACUCUACUAGGUGCUGGAAUUUGAAAUAUAUUAGGAGCUUCAUACUACCGUUGCCUGAGAUUCAGUUCCUGCUACCAAAGUCUUCAUAGUCAAUUAUAAUUUUUGCUUAUACAUUGCUAUUGGAUAAAUGAAGUGCUGCAUCUGAUUCAAAUAAUGUAUUUUGCAUCAUUUAAUUAUUGUCAAUCAAAGCUUAAGGUUGCGUCA